rnacentral:rRNA from 1 species
CCUACGGGAGGCAGCAGUGAGGAAUAUUGGUCAAUGGACGAGAGUCUGAACCAGCCAAGUAGCGUGAAGGAUGACUGCCCUAUGGGUUGUAAACUUCUUUUAUAUGGGAAUAAAAUGUUCCACGUGUGGGAUUUUGUAUGUACCGUAUGAAUAAGGAUCGGCUAACUCCGUGCCAGCAGCCGCGGUAAUACGGAGGAUCCGAGCGUUAUCCGGAUUUAUUGGGUUUAAAGGGAGCGUAGGUGGGUUGUUAAGUCAGUUGUGAAAGUUUGCGGCUCAACCGUAAAAUUGCAGUUGAAACUGGCAGUCUUGAGUACAGUAUAGGUGGGCGGAAUUCGUGGUGUAGCGGUGAAAUGCUUAGAUAUCACGAAGAACUCCGAUUGCGAAGGCAGUUCACUGGACUGCAACUGACACUGAGGCUCGAAAGUGUGGGUAUCAAACAGGAUUAGAUACCCUUGUAGUC